CCCUGCCUGGGAAUAGCGAAGUCUGGAAAGUUGGCAGGGUCUCUCUGGGCUGCCCAGGAAGGUGACCCAGGGUCCUGGGAAGCCAGGUACUGCCAGAAGAGGAUGGCUGGGGCCCAGAGCACAAAGGAAACCAGCCAGGCCAGGCCGAUCAUCAGAGCUGCCCGGCGGGGUGUGCGCUUGGCACGGUAGCUCAGGGGCCGAGUCACGGAGAAGUAGCGGUCAAAGCUGAUGAGCAGCAGAUUCAUGACGGAGGCAUUGCUGGCCACAUAGUCCAGGGCCAGCCAGAGGUCACAAGCCAGCGUGCCCAGAGCCCAGUGGCCCAUGAGCAGUAGGUCCUGCUAUCCCCAGUUUGCAAAAGGCCUAACCUGAGGCUUCAAGACCUGAAGGACCUUACAGCUCAUCAGCGAUGCAACCAGGAUUUGGAUCCAGGCCGUCUGCCUCCGAGACCAACCUCUUGAACCCUACUCCUGCCCUUGAGGGGUUGCGGGGGUUUGCCAGCCUCCUUGCCCACCUCAGCUAGCUUACUCAAGCCCAACUUUGAAUCAGUUAACGAUGAGCAAUCGGUCCUUCUUUCAGAAUCUGGCCUCCUUUGUGUGCGCGGCAGUGUCUGUCGUAUAUCUGUGUGAUGUGUGAUAACAGUGCUGUGGGAAGAGGGUGGGUCUACUGGAGCUCUUUAAAGGGCAGGGUAAGGGCUGCGUCUGUCUCAUUCAAUGCUUUAUCCCAGGGCUUGGCAGAUAGUAGUUGCUCAAUAAAUACCUGUGGAAUAAA